GAGCUGUUAAAGGAGCUGAGCGCACCGCGUUCUGUGUUGCCUCAGAUUCGCUCCACUUUCUGCCGGCUCUGGGAAUGGACCUUGUCUCCGUCCCUUGCACUGGCCCCACUUUGGCUCAGAGUUGGAAGUUUCCCUCUUCUAAGCAGCCUGCAGGACCCUGUCAGUGACGUCACCUUCUGCCACAUCCACUGACACUCACCAGGUAUCCCUUGUGCCCCAGGAUUGGUGUUGGACUCAGAGCUUGGUUCCUGCUCCCAGGGGUCCUAAGAGCUUGUAAGGGAAGUGGGGCACGGUUGAGACACCCAGUUCGAGGCCCUCCAAGGCCGGCACGGCUCCGGGUCCCCCCAGUGCGUUGUUCGGAAGAAGCAGAGAUCCUCAUAGCUGAGAUGUGCUUGUCAGAGAACAUCUGUCACUUCCUGAGGUCUCAGAGUCAGACCGCCCCUCCACUGUCACCCAGAUUUAGAAAGUGAGAUUUAGAGAACCCCAAGAUCACUUGGAACCCUCAAGGGAAAUUUCAGGAUUUUUUUCCAAAUAGGAAGCCUAAGGCGGAUUUCUCACCAAGCUAGGAACUGGUUCCUGAAUAACUAUAGGGCUACGGCUUUAGAGAGACCACACCUCUCCUGUCCUACCCCCCUUGCCAAGAAUCUGUAAGUCAUUAAGAGGGUGAAAGCUUUCGUUUGAAUUUCCUGAGUCAAAACCAAGGCUUUAGUAUUUCCGGGUUUGGGGGACUGAAGAUUUCCCUUUUCUCCGACUUCCUCCAGGUCUCUUGGUGGGAAUGCAUUUCCUAGAAAUUUGCUCACAUCUGUGUUGUAAAUCUCCUAGCUACUCUCCCUCCAGGCCCCUCAGUCCUCUUCUGCCGAAUGAGAUGUUGGAUCCAAGAUCCUGCCCAUUUUGAGCCUCCUGGGCUCCAGCCUGUUCUUGUUACUGAUGAACCUCCCUCCACACCCAGGACCAACAGCUAUUUCCACAGGGCAUUUGAUGCCUCCCUGUUGUUUUCCAGUUUGUUCUGUGCUGCUGCUUUUUUGUCCUUCCUAAGAAAACCCCCUCAUUCCUGUCAAAGACCUGUCAGAAAUCACUGCUCUCCUGUGUAAUAGGCACUAAUGUCCUAUCAGAAAUCCAUGAGCUUCUAGCAGCAAUCACUGUUUUCCUGUUAGAAAUCACUGUUGUGUCAAGAAUCACCCUCUCCUUUUAAAAACCACUGUUCUGAGAAGAAUCACCACCACUCUUUAGAAAGCCUUGUUCUCUUGUCAGAAAUCCACUAAUACCCUGUCAGAAGUCAACAUUUUCUGUCGGAAAUCCCUGUUUUCCUGUUAUAAACCAUUGCUCGCCUGUCAAAAAUCCCUGCUCUCCUGUCAGAAAUCCUGCUUUCCUGACAGAGAUCCCUGUUUCUUGUCAGAAGUCAUUACUUUCCUACUGGAAGUUGCUGCUCCUUGCCUGAUUCUUCUCUCCACAGGAUGUUCAGAGUUGUCUGUCAUGCUUUGACAUUGAUAGCUUUCCUGUAGCUUCUGUCCUGCCGGCUGUUCACACCUGUUUCGCUGCAUCUCUUUAAGCUCAGUGCCGGGUCUGGAAGCAGCCUGAGCCAAUGGGCACUGCACUGGGGCAUCCACAGUCUCGUGUGCCCCUCCUGACUGAUUACAGACAAGUCAUUUUUUGCUUGCUGGACCUUUUCCUCAUCCCUUUGUUAGGGAUAAUAUCACUCUGUCUGCUUCACAAGGUUAUUUAAUUUAAAUCAGUGACUGUUCUGACUUUUUUAUUUUUGGCCGCAGCUUAAUGUGGGAUCUCAGUUCCCAGACCAGAGAUUGAACUCGGGCCACAUUGGUGAAAGCACCAAAUCCUAACCACUAGACCACCAGGAAACUCCCCAGUUUUGAUUCUGAGAGAGCUCCCAAUGUCUCUCUUCCUAUAAUUUGCACUCACAGAGCAAGUCUAAUACUUCUCUGCUACAGGCUUUCAAAUCACCCCUAAAUCUCCUCUAACACAGUGGCUUCUUGUUCGCUCACAGCCAGAUUAAACGUUCUCAGUUCCCUGCAUGAUGUGAUUUCCAGACCUGUUGCCAGCCUGGCCACAUAAAAUCCCUCCCCCCACCCCAAGAUAUACUCUAGUUUGUUUGGGUUUCCCUAAAUGUGCGGUCUGAGCAACCAAGAGGAAGCAGGAUUAUCACCUCCCUCCUUCUAAAGCAGAAUAUUCUUGAGGCCCAAGAUUGCAUUAGCUUUUGUACCAUUUACCAAAUAGAAACUUCCCAGCCAAAAGCUCUAU